GGGCCCGCACAAGCGGUGGAGUAUGUGGUUUAAUUCGAUGCAACGCGAAGAACCUUACCAGGGUUUGACAUCCUGCGAAUCUCUUGGAAACAGGAGAGUGCCUUCGGGAACGCAGUGACAGGUGGUGCAUGGCUGUCGUCAGCUCGUGUCGUGAGAUGUUGGGUUAAGUCUCGCAACGAGCGCAACCCCUAUCUUUAGUUGCCAGCAUUUAGUUGGGCACUCUAGAGAGACUGCCGAUGAUAAACCGGAGGAAGGUGUGGAUGACGUCAAGUCAUCAUGCCCCUUACAUCCUGGGCUACACACGUACUACAAUGCUACGGACAAAGGGCUGCAAGUUCGCGAGGACAAGCAAA
rnacentral:rRNA from 1 species